rnacentral:rRNA from 1 species
AUUGAACGCUGGCGGCAGGCCUAACACAUGCAAGUCGAGCGGAGAGGCGGACGGGGGAGUGAGGCCAAGGAAUCUGCCAGGUAGUGGGGGAUAACGACGGGAAACGGGCGCUAAUACCGAAUAAUAGAAGAUGCGGAUAGGUCGGCUUAGCUAGUUGGUGGGGUAAAGGCCUACCAAGGCGACGAGCCGUAACUGGUCUGAGAGGAUGAUCAGUCACACUGGAACUGAGACACGGUCCAGACUCCUACGGGAGGCAGCAGUGGGGAAUAUUGGACAAUGGGCGAAAGCCUGAUCCAGCCAUGCCGCGUGUGUGAAGAAGGUCUUCGGAUUGUAAAGCACUUUAAGUUGGGAGGCGUUACCAACAGAAUAAGCACCGGCUAACUUCGUGCCAGCAGCCGCGGUAAUAC